rnacentral:rRNA from 1 species
UACGGGGGGGGCAAGCGUUGUUCGGAAUUACUGGGCGUAAAGGGCUCGUAGGCGGCCAACUAAGUCAGACGUGAAAUCCCUCGGCUUAACCGGGGAACUGCGUCUGAUACUGGAUGGCUCGAGUGUGGGAGAGGGAUGCGGAAUUCCAGGUGUAGCGGUGAAAUGCGCAGAUAUCAGGAGGAACACCGGUGGCGAAGGCGGGUCUCUGGGCCGAUACUGACGCUGAGGAGCGAAAGCGUGGGGAGCGAACAGG